rnacentral:ncRNA from 1 species
UCAAAACCGAUGAAGCGGAGAUCAAACGAAAACAUGUGCUUAAAGAGAGCUUAGGAUGGUGGAAUCUAAGUAGUAACAAGUUCGCAAAUGGACCGCUGAGGGCGUAGUCAAAGGUUAUGCUGAGUACUCUACGACGUGUGAUUAACGUAAUCAAUCAAGAAUAUGUUUGUAUUCUAUAAGUGUACAGGGAUUCCUGUAAAUUAAGGUGGCACCGCGGGUUAUUACUCGUCCUUGAU